UAGAAAGCUGAACCUAGGAGCAUGCUCACAACAGAACAGUGCAAGUCAGAAAGAAACUGUCUUUUCCACCACCGUUACCCACUGUCCUGAGCCUUGACCAACAUCCCUGACCAUCACGGGGAUUUCUGUGUCAUUGCUAUGUCCCCAGUCCCAAGAAUGAUGCCUAUUGUGUGUCGGAUUCAUGGUCCGGGCAAAAGAGCAGGUGGCCAGCAUGCUGGGCAGGGCCCCUCCAAGAAUGCUCACAAGCAGCCCAGAAGCUGAUGAAGCCCUGUGGCCUGCUCUCAUGUCAGGAGACAUCUCCAGUCUGCCCACCGAUAGAAGGCAAGUGGUGGUCUUUAUUCCGGGAUGAAUGGCAGACGGGAAGUGCACCUCCCCUUAGGGUCUGGCUUUGUUCCUUCCCUGGUUUUCCCUUCAGCUCCCUUCUUCCUCCCAGCGGUGAGAACUCAGAGCUAGCUUAAGAUGGCCAGCGAGGCUCUCGGGAGAGAGGGUGGCAGCAGCAAGUUCACCAGGUCUCCGAGAGGACCUCAAAGUCUUCAGAGAUCUCUGGGAGAGAGAAGUGGGGUCAUGAGGAAGUGGGGAGGGAGAGGGCCUUGCUCCCAGUUUCAGGAGGCCCCGCCUUGGAUACCUGCUCAGCAGAUCCCCUACUCUUCUACAGGGCGUGGGGAAGACACAGAAAACAACCAGUGCAGUUGUGACCCUGUGGGCUCACCUGUGCCCCCAUGGCUGAGGGGACAUUUUCAGAGGACAAAGAAAUGAACAGAGCGCUUUCCCGGGGUGCUGGCUUUGGGGUGAUCAACCCUGGAUUCCAUCCUGACCCUGACUCUUCCUAAUUAGGAGCCUCGAGCUUUCUGAACAGGCAUUUUCUUGUCUGUUAAAUGAUGGCAGUGAGCAGACACGAGCCCUCGCCGUGGCGCCCCAGAUCUAACAGCUAGCCUUAGAUGAGGUUAACAAAAUGCGGAGGUGAGCACAGGGGUCACUGCUACUGCUCUUCCUCCCACUGCCUGGGGCUGAGGCACACGGCACACGUGAGUCCCUGGGAUUCCCUGUUUGGUUGAUACGGGGAGUGACUGUGGGCCUGACUUUAUCCUAGUCACCAGCAGACAGGAAAUGUCAACCCAGCUCAGAGGACUGCAGGCACACUCAGGUGGGGUCCUCCUUGCUGAUCAUUAGAGUGUGGAAGGAGGAGAGAGUUUCACGUUGGAGCUGGGGCCGGAGCACUGCCUGGUGUCAGAGACAUCAUCCCCUGCCCUGGAGGCUGGACUGUGAACACAGCAUGACUAGUGUGGGAGAGGUCACCGGCUCAGUUGUCCUGGGUGCUGGCCUUAGAGCAGUGCAGGCCAGCUCCCUUUGCCCUCUGGACUCUAUAGCCAGGUCCCAGGCAGUGAGUGGCCCUCUCCCUGUCCAGGCCUGUACUUAUUUCUUCCAUCUUCUGGAAGCCCUUGGCCUACCUUGGGCCUCACCCUAUGAGACUUCCUUCCCCUGGUGACUGUGCCUUUGAAAGUGGCUGAAGAAUUUCCUGUUUCAGGCAGAGUCAGGCUGGAGGAUGGCUGGGCUUCCUCUCUACCCUAGGAGCUGUGGCCAGGCUGUUUGAGUCUGGGCCAAGCUUGGGGAAGCCCUGACUGGGGCUAGAAGAAAAGACCAGCAAGAAUUGGGGGAGGGAAUGGGGGCAGGGCUAGUUAGGGUGAGCUGCUGCUGCUGAGGCCGGUCCCCAGACCCCUGGCCCCCACAUGUGGUACCCUAGUCCUGUUGGGACAGGAGCCAGAGUUGACUUCUGAGCCUCUAGCCAGGACAGCCCAGCAGGACUCAGGGCCAGAGGCCAGAGGCAAUCUCUGGGAAAGAGUCUGUGUUUCUGACACCCGGGCAGUGUAGCUUCCAAUGCUUGUUGAUUGGCAUUUGGCUCCCCCAGUGCUGAGUUCAAAACCAGCUGUUUAUUUCCGUCCAGGGCUUAUACGCCCUCCUAUGUUUCUCUUGAAUCUCACCCUGCCACGUUCCAGGCUCUCCCUCGAGGCAAAAAACACGAUAUGAUCUUGCUGGGUUCAGUGAGGUGACCCACUGGAGAGAAGUGGACCCUUCUGCUCAGCCUGGAGCAUCUGCAGACCUUCUGCCGAGGUGUCCAGGGUCUCUUCGUCCACCUCCUCACUCUUGUGAGGCUGGAGGAAUGGGAGAAGAGGUUCUGUUGGGAAUCAGCGGCUAAGGCUGCAUCCUCAGCUGAACUGCUGAGAAACCUGCACACCGGGAAGAAGAUGAGGGAGCCCAGAGGGGCGGGGCGAGGAACGAGGAACCCUGGCACAGCUGUCAGAGGACCUCAUGUCGUGUGGGGUUAGGGCCAGGAGAACUCCAGAGUCCUGGAGUGGAGGCCUGCAGAGGCUACAAGGCAGAGGAAGUGUUUAUUUGCAGGUUGUUUGACCUGGAGUGUGCGAGCUUUUCAUGUGCUCCAGAACACAGCUCAUUUUCUCCCAUUACCUCCCCGUGAAGUACCCCAGGUUGGGGACCUGUGACCUGGGUUUCCUCCCUCUACCUCUCCUUGGGUGGGGGUGGCUGGCCUGGCCGAUGUCCCUGGUACCCCUGGGGUGGGGAAGGCUGUGGAGGAUGGGGUGGAGGCUGUGCUGUUCUGGGGUGAGAGGCUCUCCUCCAAGGCAGGGUCAGGAAGGAAGGAAACCAGUGAGAGGCGUCCUGAGUCCCCUUGAAGCUCUGCUUCCUGUGGGGUGGCAGGAGCUGACUUCAGGGCCUUUCUGUUCUAGGCACCCUGCCCUCCUCUGCCGCCACCCACACCACACUUUCCUCACCUCCAGCCCUAGCCCACCUCUGUAUCCACCCUGGGGGUUCCAGGGCUCUGCGUCUCCCACUCUUGCAUUCACAGUGGCUCUCAGGCUUAUGGCCAAGGAAAACCAGGGGACCGGGAACCCCCGGCUUCAAGGAUCUUGGACAGUCCUGAUCUGAGAGAGGCAGCUCUCCACCAAGGAUCAGCAGCAGGGGUGAGCAGCGGAGGAUGCUGUGAGCUGGGAUUCAGGCCUCAGGAGGGAGCAGGAGACACAUCCUAGCAAGGCCUGGGUAUGCCCCAGAAGGCAGGGAUGGCCAGCAGGACCCGGGAAAGCACUCUGCCGCUGGCACUCAGCAAUUGCUUCAUUGUUGACCUUUGGAAAGGUCAUUGGCAGAACUCGGCUCCUGGUUAAAAGGAAGAGAUUCCUGCACACCUAUGAAAGGCAUGCAACUUUCAACUUCCUGAUGAACUAGCACGCAUUGGAGAAGUUGCUGCUCUGGCUCUUCACCCAGAGGACAGUCAGAGCUUUCCAGCUAGUGCUUCACCCUCUUAUGUCACUGGCACUUAGCACAUUGCCGGUGAUGACUCAGAGCUGUCCGUGGUGAUGGUAGGGAGAAGGAAGUUUCUAGAAGGUCUCACUCAGUACAGUGAAUUUGAUCUGUUUGCCAGGGCCAUUCCAGGUUCCUGGGGUCUGACAAACAGGCAUUUUGUAGCUAUGGUCAAAUUCUGCUCUUCUUAGAAAGCUGAUGGCAAAGGAGAGAGGCUGAGAAUCCGGUAUUUUCAAGAGAAACGAGACCUGGCUUCAAGUCUCCGUUGUUUGAACUCAGGCAAAUGGCUUCUUCUGCCUCUGGGGACUGGAGUGACAGACACAUCCCCUUCUUCUUGUCCUGAAGAUGAGAUGAGAUGGAGGACUGGGGCUCAAACCAGUAACUGAGCAGGAAGGAGGCUCAGGGCUGGCAGAAAGUGGUCUCCACCAUAACCACAGUCUAGACCACAAGUCCAGACCCCUGGGGUUGGGUUUGUUUAUGUGACUUCUCCAGUGAGAGGAAAUGACAGGAUGUUGCUAGCAAGCACUACCUGAUCGGUUCUGAGCUCUUGGGUAAGACCCACAGGAGGGGCUGGGCGUGUCAAUUAAAUGGUUCAGGAAGAUACUAUUCAGUGAGAUACUUCUUUUUUUUUUUAGACAAGGUCUCUAUUAUGUAGCCCUGGUUGUCCUGGAACUCGCUAUGUAGACCAGGCUGGCCUUGAACUCCAAGAGAUUCAUCUGUUUCUGCCUCUGCCUCUGCUGUGAUCAAAGUGUGCAUGCACCACCACUCCCAACUCAGUGAGCUACUUUAAAGGAAGGUCAGGGGGACCUGGGACACCAUCAAGAAAUGGGUCACCUGGGAAAUAAGCAAACACUACCCAGUCAGCCCACAGGACAUUUUUGGAAACUGUGCAGAGAAAAGGAAGUUCAGGAAAGGUGGGCUAGGGGCAGGGAGGGAGAAGAGUCAUUCUGCGAAAACUCCAGGAAAGUGAAAGCAAUGAGGUAAAAAACAACACACAGGGGUCCCUGGUGCUGCGAUGAGCGGAUGUUCAGUGCAAGUCUCUGCCCUCCUUCACCCCAUCCUUUCUUCCUUCUCACCCUCCCCGUCCGUCUUUCUCUUCUCUUUCUUCCCUUCCUCCCUCCCUUCGCCGCUCUGUCCCUCUGUAUCUAAUAAAUUUCCAGAUCCCGCCAAGUUGAGUUCCUGAACCGUCUCCAGUCCCCCUCCCUCUCUGCUUCAGUGUCGUCACUCGGUGCUACUUCAAGAGUCAUCCGACUGCUCCGCCUCGAGUCCACCGUGGACAUAUCCAGUGUUCCCCACAGUGCAGCUGUGUGGUUCUCAAAGGACACAAACCUAGUCCCAUCACACACAAAAUACACAUCACACACCACACAUACACAUCACACACACAAAAUACACAUCACACACAAUACACACCACACACACAUCAUAUACACACCACACACAUACCAC